rnacentral:lncRNA from 1 species
CAAAAUGUCACUGUGCUGUCACAGUUGUUCUAUGACAGUGAUGAAUAACAGGCAACUCUGUGAGACUGCUGUAGUUCACCCUGCACUAGGGUCACUGACCACUUAUCACUGCAGGGAUCAUUGCGAAUAACGAUGGUGGAAAAUAUUGAGCAGAUAAAGUGAGGAUGAGUGGAAAGGAAACAUCAGUAACCCCAGAUUUCAGCCAAGUCCAUCUUUGCUGUGCAUGGUGACUAAUACAUGAUGUGAAUUCUGAUCCUCUGAACCAAUUACAGCAAGCCAAAUCCAGGCAAACCUACUCCAAAAUGCCUAAAGGAUUCUUUGAAAAGGGUCAGCCCUGCAUGGGAAGGAGCUACAUUUCUACAUCCUACCAAAACUUGGCACUGGUAAACAACGCUACUGAAUGUUCUUGGGCCAGUGGAGCGAGCAAAAACUUCGUACUGCUUGAGGAUCUUCUCUUUUUUUGUACUAAAUACAUACAAGGACAUUGCAUUAUUAGAGUUUGUAUAUAAAUUCAUAAAUUUAUAUUUGUAAUUUAUAAAUAUGUAAUAUAAUAUAUAAUUUAUACAUUCAUAAACAGAUUGCUCUAUAGGCUACUAUUAGGGGCAUAUCAGAGAAAGUGGUUGAAAAUAUUGUGUACAAUGUAUGUAUUAUGAUCACAUUCAUAUAUCCCUUUAAAACUGUUACUAGCAAUAAAAUAUUUUUCAUACUCA